UACGGGGGGAGCAAGCGUUGUUCGGAUUUACUGGGCGUAAAGGGCGCGUAGGCGGCCAGCGCAAGUCAGUUGUGAAAUCUCCGGGCUUAACUCGGAACGGUCAACUGAUACUGCGCGGCUAGAGUGCGGAAGGGGCAACUGGAAUUCUCGGUGUAGCGGUGAAAUGCGUAGAUAUCGGGAGGAACAUCUGUGGCGAAGGCGACACCCUGGACCAGCACUGACACUGAGGCACGAAAGCGUGGGGAGCAAACAGG
rnacentral:rRNA from 1 species